GUGCAAGUUGCUGUGGGGCAAGGACAACAUCGCUGUUAAAUCAAAAGGGACUUUAUAACGAGUUCCUUCUCACUUUUGCAAGAGAACGUCCAUCGUACCUGCCCGUAUGCCUACGUAUACCGUUCUAUCCAUGGUAUAUUUUGGAGAUUAUCGUUCGAUGGCAGAGAUUCAGAAUUUCGAAUAACUGACUGCAGUCCGUUCGAUUAUCGUUGUUUAAUUACGAGGCACAUUGAACACUUGGAAAUCGAGGACCAGUCUGUAAACAAAAAAAGAAAAGAAAAAUGAAAACAUCUAUAUAAUACAAGCGGGCUAGUUAAUACAAGCGAAAAACUGAUAGGAUGCAGAUAAUUCGCUUAAACCUCGGUGGUCCGGAUCAGCUCGGAUGCCCUUUUGCAACGAUACGCAAUGAGGGCUGCUGCUGCUGCUGCUGCUGCCGUUUAAAUUGCUGGUGGUGCAGCAGAGUUGCGCAGCAUCAUACAACAGCUAGUCACCUAUUGCUGCAGGUAAACUGCAACAGCAGCAGGUGCUGGGCUCAGGAAAAAUCACGGAAAAAUUUGGAACUGUGGGAAAAAUUCGCCUGCGCAACUAUAUAAUGUAUUAUAAAUAUAACGAAUACAAAUACGAAUGUACUGUACGUACGUACGUGAAACCUCGAAACGAAUAGAAGUUAUCAACAGCGA